ACGCAGAGGAGAGCACCCGGGAUGAGAAAAAAAGGAGCCAGCGCUCUCUCGUCCCCACGAGGCCCGCGCCGCCCACCGUCGGGGCUGGGAGCUCAACAGAACCAGAGAAGCGGCUAUUGCCGGCACCGAGGCUGUUCACAGCCAGAGAGGAAUUUUACCUUAGGAUGGAGCCUAUCUAGAGCCUCACCCGUACCUGAUCCAGAUGAUACCUAGAUGAGACUUUGGGCUUUAGACUUCCGAGUUGAUGGAAUGAGCUUCUGGAAAGAGCAGUCUCCCCGGCCCCACUCCUCGCUUCCCAUGCUCUUUCCUCCUUGCAGUCAGGCCGUUUGGCCAACACCUGACUGCACACGCUCCCACUGAGGUUACCAGUGCAGCUCACGUCCAAAUCAUCGGGUGGUGCUCAGCCCGAAUCUAAACAAGCUGUCGGCAACAUUUGCAACUUUACGUAUUGUGUAAGUAAUGAAGUCACGUAUGUUAUAUAAUUAUUUCUAUCAGCUUAUGUAAACUUGUUCGGUGAUUAUUGAGCACCUGCUGUUUCGCCGGCACGGCUCCAGGCCCUGUGACGUAGAGGUAGACGAGAUCCUGUCUCAAGGCUGUAGCCAGGUCAUAGCACCGAGUUCUCUGUCCCGGGGCUGCGUCAGGGGGCAUGGUGAGCCCCCCGACUUCGGCUGAUGAGACAGCAGGCCCUCAUAAAGGUGCCAACCUUUGACUCACUUCCCUGCCUGCCUCGCAGUCGGAAUUUCAGACUGCCUGCCCCAAGGUUUUCGUCAUAGUGUUCACGACUCUCCUGUCAACACACUAUCUGAGAGUUGCUGAAAAUGUGAUACUUUCAGAGGAAAUAACCACGGCUUAUGCUCCCCAAUCCUCAUCUCCUCUACCAACAAAGCUUUCCUUAUAUCUUCUUGUAGCCUGCUUUAUAUGGCGUCAUGGGGUUGCACCCCCAGUAUACAAGUAAACAAUAAUUAGAAUUGUAAAUGUUGUAUCGCUUCUUGGCCUUUUGCCCAAGAUCAAGUGUAGAACUGUAAAUGACGCGAGGGAAACCGAGCAGGGCAAUGUGACCUAAAGCACUACCAUGAUCUGAAUGUUCAUGUUCCCCCCAAAUUCAUAUGUUGAAAUCCUAACCCCCAAGAUAAUGAUAUAAGGAGAUGGGGCCUUGAGAGGUGAUCAGGUCUGAGGACAGAGCCCUCGUGAAUCGUAAGAUUAGUCCUCUUGUAAAAGAGACCCCACAGAGACCCCCUGCCCCUUCCACCCCGUAAGAGACACAGUGACGUCACUAGAGCAUGUUAAGUGCUGAUAGGUCUGACUCAGUGCAGAGACAGGAAUUGAGAGGCAGAAGGGGCCGGGAUCCGUCAUACAGGCAGGGGAGUUUGCUUGGACAAGAGCAGAAACAGACCUAUCUUUUAAAGCUCUUCCCCCUGGUUGUAACAACAUCACUCUGGACUCUCCCCUUCUUCUGUGAUCGUUCCUUCUCAAUCUCAUUUUCAGACCCCUUUUUGAUUGUGGUUGUCAGCAGGGUUCUGUCCACAACCGUUUUUGAAUUAUCCCCUCUGCGUGUUCCUUCGACCAUCUUAUCCCUAACCACACAGGCCAUUGGCCACUCGCCUGGACUUCACCCUUUCGGGCCCUAAUGUAGAUAUAUACUUUUUAAUCUCCCAAAUUCUAUCUCUAGCCCAGACCUGUCCUCUGACCUCCUCAUUUAGCUGCUUAUUUGACACCUCCACUUGGCUAGAGGCUUCUUGAAUUUAAUGUAUCCAAAAUUGGGAUUCUUGGGGGGCCCCCCCAGGCACACGCGCACACACACACACACAAACUAACGGUGGAGAGAGCAGUGCUCAUUGAUAGCCCACAUUUCAACUCUUUUCAUAACCUGUACCCCAUUCUUUUUUUUUUAAGUAGUCUCUACACCCAGCAUGGGGCUCAGACGUAACCACCGUGACAUCAAGAGUCACACGCUCCACUGACUGAGCCAACCAGGUGCCCUCUUCUUUUUAAUGUACCCCAUUGUUUGAUACACACUUUGUAAGUUUUUUCAUUCUUACGUAAGUAUCAUAGUGACAUCACUAAAGCUUUACCAAUACUUCCAGCUCUCCUUCCUUUCCUAGACAUGUGGGAGAAUUAUGUUUAUCCAUCUCCUUGCAGUUAGACUUGGUGAAGGCAGUUACUGCGGACACGGAAAUGUGAGGGGAAGUUACACAUAUUGCAUCUGCAUGGAAAUAUUGAGGAACAGGUGCACAAUUCUCUUUGCUGUCUCCCUCCCCUCCUUUCUUUGUCCCAAAGUUAUCAUGUGUUGAGAUGCAGAUGCCUUAAGAUCAAAGCAGCCUGGAAUGCUGAGCCAUCACGUGCAGGAAAAUUGCCCAGAGAGUCAUUUAGCCUUGUAGCUAACUUUGAGCAAGGAAAAAGAAAAAAAGAAAAACACUGUUGUAUAAGUCACUGAGGUUUUUGCUGUUUUUUAGUUCUGAGGUGUGUGCGUGUUGUGUGUAUAUCUGCGGUUACUGCGGCGUGACUGAACGUAUCCUGAUGAUAGAAAUGCAACGCAAAUGCAUAUUUAAGACACAUCUCUUCCAGCCUCUACUUCCACCUAGCUGACUACCUCUAAGCCGCUCCUAAGUAGAAAUUCUGGAACUGUCCAUGCCCCCAAACCAUCCCUCUUCACUUCUCCCCAAAUUCAGUUAUCAUCACUACCCACUUAGUUGCUCAAUCCUGAAUUCAGAAACAGGGAUUAUCUUAAUGCCUCCCCCUUCCUCACUUCCACAGUCUGAUCACCGAGUUUCCCGAAGUAUGUCUCAGAUUUGCCCUGGACAUCUGCAGCAGCCGCUUCCUGUUCCUGCUUCCAGUCUUGGGAUAUAUAUGAUACCUCCAAGGUCAGAACUUAAUUAAGGGUCCAUAGUAAAACUUCUGCCUCCCACCCUGUCCCCAGUCACCUCGUUCCUUGGCCUGUAGGCAACCAAAAUGACCAGAUCCUCAGGUAUCCCUUCAGAGCUAGCUGCACGCAGAAACCAACAAGUCUGUGUAUCUGUCAUUUUCCAGAAACACAAAACUGACCACCCCCUAGCUGAAAGCCUUUCAGUGCCUUUCUAGUACAGAUUCUGGAGUGUUUAGGACCCUACCUCAGCCUGCUGAUCUCUCAAUUCCAGAUAACCCCCUUCUCUGUUGAAAUCGUUCCCGCCUCCGGGCUCUUCCCUAUGCCGUUCCCUCUGCUUGGACAGUUUCCCUACAGAUCUGUGCAUGCUAAUUCUUUCCUUAAAUAUUACCUCCUCAGGGAGAGUGCACAGCCUUCCCACCCCCGUUUUCCUCUAUCACAGUCUGCCCUCUACUUGUAGCCUUCAAGCCUCUUCAAAUAGUCGUCAUAUAGUUACUGAAUAUUUACUUGUUCAUUAGACUCGAAGUUCCAUGAGAAUAGACGUCGUGUCUGUUCUGUUUGGUUUACCACAUACUAUACACCCAGCUUCUAGUUCUGUGCCUGUCACAACAUAGGUGCACAGUAAAAGAAGGAAAGAAGGAAGGAAGGAACUGAUGGAAAAACUAGUUCUGAAAAAAGGGGGGAAAAGGCAGAUGAACUAAAAAAACUAGCUUCCACUAUGUAAGCAGGCAAAUUUGGCCUCCAUACUGUCUCUCCCCGAGUAUAGAUUUUAGAUUUUUAUCCCGAGCUUCCUCACUGUGUGGUUGGCUGUGUCUCUGGUUAGGCCAGCGACCCAUACAGACAAGGGAAGGGAAGGAAGAGAAGAGCAAAACAUCGCUCCCAAAGGUUCAAGGCCUUGAGUUCUUUGGGAGGAGGUGGUUUCCAGGGUUUUCCAGACCUUGUAUUUCGUCACAGACAUUUAACAACUGGUUUAAACAGAAAUAUUAAGCAGUCCCGUCUUCCUUUGUUUUAGGGACCAAAAGUUCUUUUCGUUUGUUUUUGUUUUGUUUUGUUUUUUAUAAGCAAGUUCACCAGAAAAGACAGGGGCUUCCACACUGAAAGAGCGGCAUGUUUGUAGGAAUGUUAACUCUACGAUCUCAAAUCAGGACCUACGUCUGCCUUCAGUGUUUUAAUAUGGCACAUGUUUUCCUCAUUACUUUUAUGAUUACAUUUAUCAUUAUAGAUAACGAUACUAAAAUUUUCUUAAGGAUAAACCGGAGAAAUAAAAAUCACAUCCCUUAAACAAGCUUUUUAAGUCACAGAAGCUAAUUAAUAUGUCCAUUUUCACCUGUCACUCUCUCCUUGGAAACUAAACAACAAAGCUUCAUUCAUCUCUACUUUAAUUUCACCUUCGGAAUUUAUCUCUAGGCGUCCGGGUCAGCUGAUUGGAUUAGCUAGGUAAUGUGACCCAGCCAUUUGGCCUGUAUCUCUUACCAGAGUAGAGGAUAAAAUCCAAGCUCCUUAAUGUGCUGCACAAGGCCCCUCAUAACCUGGCCCAGUUCCCCACCCCCACCCCAGCCUCACUGCUCACCACCUCUUGCCUUCCUUACUCACGUAAGUGGAGAAAGGUCUUGGGCUCACAGGUGUGUUCUAAUGGUACAGAUCUCCUGUUCCCCUGAAUACUUCUGUGCCAGGGUAGAGAAGGACACUCUAGCCGCCUUUUGGAUAAGGUGUAGACUUGGGGGAGCGGGUUCGAGGAUCCCUCUGCACUGGAAUCAUCACAGAUGGAAGAGCAAGGAAGCGAAUUCACUUGGAAGGGGUGGGGCUGACGGCUUUGAUCAACACCCGAAGAUCAGAGCCCCUCCUCAGCUGUGUGGCAACGCCCCCUCGUUCACAGGUGCUUCAAAGAGCGCUGCAAUGACCUGAAUGUGUCUGCCUCAGAUUUAUGUGUUGAAACCAUAACCCCAAAGGGAUGGUAUUUGGAAGCGGGACCUUUGAGAGGUAAUGAGGUCAGGAGAGUGGAGCCCUCACGAUGGGAUUAGUGCCUUUACAAGAAGAGGCCAGAGAGCUAGCCAGGCGAGGAUGAACCAGGAAGACAGUGAGGAAGAGGGCACUCGCCAAGAACCUGACCGCACUGGCACUCUCAUCUCAGACUUCUAGCUUCCAGAACUGUGAGAAAUAAACGUCUGCUGUGUGAGCCACCCAGCCUGCCGUAAUUGGUUACAGCAGCUGAAGUAAGAUAAGAGCCAUACCUGGUCUCCCUCCUGAAGAGUCUCCACCAACUUGUAGCACUGGUCGGUCAAGGAUUUGUGCCAUUGGUGACCUUCAGAUGCUCCUGCAGAGAGGUUUAGAGCUCCUCCAGGACUGGGACGGUAAUGAGUAAAAGUGAAAAAAAAUUGCGAACAAAUUCUUUAAAAAGAAUAUUAGGUGGUCAACUUAUCUAGGCUGUAGGAAAUAUAUUAUCAGAAGUGCUCCUCGAAACAAGGACUCAGGAUAUCCUUGUUUGGCCUUAAGUUUGGGAGUAGUGCAAUGUGGAGAGGUGUGUCUCUGCGUGGAGUGCUUUUUAUUUUAUUUUAAUUUUUUUGAAUAUUUUAUUUAUUUAUUAGAGACAGAAUAAGCCUGGGGUGGGGGGAGGUAGACAGGGGGAGAUGGAGAAGCAGGCUCCCCACUGAGCACAGAGCCCGAUGUGGGGCUCGAUCCGAGGACUCUAGGAUCAUGACCUGAGCUGAAGGCAGACGCUUAACGACUGAGCCACCCAGGCGCCCCUGAGUGCUUUUUAAAAUGGGGCCUCAGAAGGAUUCUUGUGCUGAAGACACAGUUAAGCAUCUUGAUUGUGGUGGGGUUUACAUGGCACUGUACAUGGGAUAAAACCGCAUAGAGCUACACACACACACACAUACAAACGAGUGUAUGUAUAACUGGCAAAAUGUGAAUAAACUCUAUGGUUUGUACCAGUAUCAAUGCCACGAGUUGUAUAUUGUACUUACUAUAGUUAUGCGAGACGUUAACACUGGGGGAGGCUAGGUGAAGGGUACAGGGGAACCUGGCUGUACAUUUCUUUGCAAAUUCCUGUGAAUCUAUAAUUAUUUCAAAAAGUCUUCUUUUGUUUAAGUCGGGCAGGGGUACUCAGAAUAGUGGAGCACUUGAUCUUAAACAGUGCAUUGGGGAUGACCUUCAAGCUAGAUCUCAUGCAAAAACAGUUCCUCUGUGUCCAGGCCCAAAGAUGUCCCUGAAGAAAAGGAUGAAGUGGGCUACCUUUGUCAGCAGAUUCAAAAUGACUAUAGAGUCUAGGAGGGCCUCCAUCUCCCUGAAACUCUGUGUGCAUUCAAGUGGAUCCCCAGCCCCUUUUCUGGAAACCUGUAGGGCGAGCAGGUAGACAAGGCAGGUGAACUGUGGUAGGCCCCAGGAAUAGGCCUAGAAGCCCAGGAAACUCUGAAUCACUGUACACUAAUCUGAUCGCCAUUCCCAAACUAUAUUGGAUUUGUUUAGCAUCACCACAGCUUAAUUCAGUCUCCCAGCAAUAUUUAUUAAGCACUUACUGUACAACCAGCACUUUUCACUCCUUGCCUCACACCAUAUACAAAAAGCAACUCCAGACAUAUGUCUAAAUGUGAGAAGUAAAAUAAAGUUUUUAUUAGAAAACAUAGGAAAAUAUCUUUAUUAUCUUAGGCAAAGAUUUCUUAAACUGUAUACCAAAAAAAAAAAAAAAAAAGCUAACCAUUAAGGAGAAAAAUGAUAAAUUGAACUACAUUAAAAUGAAAAAGGCACGAUUAAGUGAUUAAGUGUAAAAAGCUAAUACACAGGAUAUGAUGUGGGGCCAUGAGCAAAUGGUCAAGAAAGAAAUCUUGAGAAGUUUUCAGUGCAAAAAGGUGCUUUUAUUAUAGCAUGGGGACAGGGCCCGUGAGCAGAAAGGCUGCCCUGGGAUUGUGAGGAAUGACUGAUUAUAUACUUUUUGCUUAGUGGGGGUUACAGAUAGCAUAAGUCUCUAAGGAACUUGAAAGCAAGGUUUCCAGGACCUUGAGGGGCUAGUUGCUGUUAAGAUAAGGUUAUUUACUACUGUCUAGUAAGACACUAGUCAUAAGACCCUUCAGAUGUAUAUCAGUGGGUCAUAUGUUUGAAGGAUGAUUGCUAACUUCUGUCCUGGGGUGGGGGAUGUUUAUGAGUAUCAGAGGGAAGUAACACCAAAGAAAAGCUAUAGUCAUAAAACAUUAAAGAGAGUCCUUGAGGGAGCUCUAGGAGUGUUACAAUCUGUAUGCUUCAGGAAUCCUACCUGGAGACUGUGGGCUGCAGCAAAGUCCAAGCUUUGCUCCUUUUACUCCCAUCAAAUAGAAUAAGAUAUUUGUAAUACGUAUUUCUACCUGCUGGGGAGAACGAAUUUCCUCUGCCCUUCAAGAUCCUUGUAGCUGGACUAAUAAUCAACUCAAUGUAAGACAGCUUAACAGGAGAAAAUUAAAUUUAAUUUUGUACAUAUAGGGAAUCCACACAGACAUGGAGAUUCCAAAGACAAUCAGAUAAAAAGAGGUCAUUCUGAACUGAGGAGAAGGGGGUAGGAGUCUGGCGCCUCGAAGGGAUGGAAUGUAAUUCACAGGAAAAUGAAAAAGAGUAAAUGAUUGUUAAAUGGUUGCGGGGCCACUCAGAAACAAUGGAACACAGAAGACUUUGAUCAAAUAGGCCUUGCUAGGUCUCUCCCUGUCUACCCUACGUAGUUCAUAUCAUAAUAUAGUUAUCUAUGGUGAUAGCUCUCUUCUCGGAGUAGGUCUUCUAUCUAAAUUCUUUUAGGCAAUUGUGGGGGAGGUAAAGAGCUUUUCCUGAAUCUGC